UUUGAGGUCACAACAUAGUCCACCACCAUUAUGACUUUCAAAUUGGUUGCUUGUUGCAUAGGUAGUGGGAUUUUAAUCUAAGCCCUCCAGCCUCGCUCCGUUGAUUCCCUACAGUAGAUACACCAGUGCCCCUUCCAUAUGGCCUCACUUUGGUGCAUGCCAGCCUGCCUUCCAACAGUCAGCAUCUACAACUUUGUUAGAGGGCUGCCCUCAGACUGCUGGAACCCACUUUGCCUCCAUGCAGGGCAGAUCCAAAGUGCCUAGGGAAUCCAACCUUAUUUUAUCUUUGAAAAUAUCCUGAAGUGCCAAAUAAACCAACAGUCUGAAGCGGGGGAAGACUCUAGCCCCAGCAAUACCUGCGACUACUAAUGAAAAAGACUUGACGGACUGAAACUGCCCGAGAUUUCUCACAUAAUGUCAUCAUUACGUGGAUGUGCUUCAGUGCUCUGAAAUAAUGGCACUUUAAUCUCAAGUCCACCUGCCACCAUCUGAAAAGGGGGGAAAAAAGCCAAAGAUAUAAAAUACUGAAGAAAGGAUACUGGAUGGCAUGCAGAAUCUUUGGAAGAACAACCAGAUUGCCAGGCAACACAGCUAGAAAAGUGCCCCAAAUCUCACCACAGAACAGAUUUAAUGAAAAUCGCACUUCUGCACUGCUGGGCCAUUAUUACUAUGACCACCGAGAAUGCUGCCUCUAAAGAGUGGAUGGACCUGCUCUCACUGCCCUGCUGCUUCCUGUCCCUAGAAUAAAC
rnacentral:lncRNA from 10 species